rnacentral:tRNA from 1 species
GGGAUGGUAGCUUAGCCAGGGAGUAGCACCCGAUUGAAGCUCGGGACAGACGCAAGUUCAAGUCUUGCCCAUCCCA